UUUUUUUGGUUCUAAAGAGUUUUGGGAUGGGGGAGAAGAAAGGGGUGAUGGCUCUGUUAUUUUGUUCACCGCAACAAGUCAUCCAACUAUAAUGUCUCCUCAUUCCCGGGAAAAAACCAUGACACAUUUCUGCCCUCUACCACUAAUAAGGGCGAUACCUUCUGCUACGAUUGACAUCAUCCCCACUACUUCCAGCUCGCCCAGGCCCACCUGGACCAUUGUUCCGAUCAACUCUCCUCGGCCUAGGUUGUGGCAUCUGUACACCCGGCUGCUGAAGGACAUAGCCAAUUCGACCAUCUGGUAGAACCAUGGGCACCAUAUGCAUCCCAGCUGGCAUUGGACCCCUUCCAUAUAUAACUGGCUGCUGAAAACUGGCGGUAACACCAAAUCCAGCACUUAAAGAGCCAUAUGGACUUCCGGCAAACCCACCAUAUGAAGGAUGUGUCACCUGGUUCGGAUGAAGCCCAGCCGUGUAAGGAUGAAGCCCUUCAGGUUUUUUAUCAGCCUGAGGCUUGGCAAGGACAACUUCCAACACUUGGCCAUCAAUUUCAUAUUUCUCAUUAUCUUUCACAGCCUUCAAUGCACUUGACCUUUCCGCAUAAUGAAUGAACCCGAAAUCUCGUUUUCCAGCUUUGCCAGGUGGCAUAACAACUUUCGUCACUUCCCCAUGGUGCUGGAAUAGUUCCUUCAAUUGCUCAAUAGUAGUGUUCUCAGGUAUAUUCUUUACAUACAAAGCCUUAACCUGAGCUGCAGCAGCAGAAUGAUCAGGUGUGCCCUU
rnacentral:misc_RNA from 1 species